GUGCUCCCUUUGGCAGCACAUAUACUAAAACUGGAAAGAUACAAAGAUUAGCACAGCCUGUAGACAAGGAUGAAACACAAAUUUGUGCAGCAUUCCAUAUUUUC
ensembl:snRNA U6 U6 spliceosomal RNA